GCCAGCGUGGCACACUGGUUUGAGUACUGAACUAUGACUCUGGAAACCAGGGUUCGAUUCCCAGCUCAGCCA
rnacentral:tRNA from 1 species